UGUAUGUGUGUGUUCGGGUGUUUUCAACAAUUUCAGUCAUAUAAACGACGAAGUGAAGUUCAAGCAUACAUGACAUUGGACUAUUCUGGCUCAGAAGAACCUGGGGCACUUGUCACCAAUCCCAGAAGGAGCAAUUACUAGAGGUUGCGAAGGAUGAAGUUGAGGGUGAUAAGGACGACGAUAGUUCAAGAGCGAAAUAGUGGUUGACAUUAUAUAGAGAAUGGAGAAAAAGCAGAUUGUACACUGGUCAGAAUGAAGAUGACUUGAGAUGUUGAAGAAAAGUCCAGCUGCAAACUGUCCAAGACAUACAGUAAGGAUGUGGAUCUGUGGUAACUUAAGGUAAUGUCUCUGUGCGUUCACAGAGAGAAAUCAUUCAUUCAAAGUGAUACUGUAGAAAGAGAAAAAUGUUAAAUAACUUAAA
rnacentral:lncRNA from 1 species